AGGACGAACGCUGGCGGCGUGCUUAACACAUGCAAGUCGAGCGGAAAGGCCCUUCGGGGUACUCGAGCGGCGAACGGGUGAGUAACACGUGAGCAAUCUGCCCUUAGCUUCGGAAUAGCUCCGGGAAACCGGAAUUAAUACCGAAUAUGACUUCGGCCGACAUCGGCCUUGGUGGAAAGUUUUUCGGCUAGGGAUGAACUCGCGGCCUAUCAGCUUGUUGGUGGGGUAAUGGCCUACCAAGGCGACGACGGGUA
rnacentral:rRNA from 1 species